GCCGGAAUAGCUCAGUUGGUAGAGCAGAAGACUGAAACCUCU
rnacentral:tRNA from 1 species